GGGUUUUAAGGCAAGCAAACAACUUUCUUUAUUUCAAAGGCUCAUUGGCCUUUUGCAGGGUGUUUCAAUUUUAUCAAAUGAGGUCAAAUAUACCAAGUCCCAAAAUUAUCCUAAGUCAAGAGGGAAAUAACUUUUCAUGUUAUAAUUGGAAUCUAAUGUGCACAGUGUGUGAAUAGCUUAAAGUGGAAGAACUAAAUUCAAUUUCAAUAGAAGCUUCAACAAUUGAACCACUUUAGUGAGCAUAAUCCAUACUCUAAGUCAAGUGAAAAACAACAGUUCAAUUUCUCCUGUUUUAAUUUGAAAUUUUUUCCUCAAAAUUCAUGGAGAAUAGAGUAAAAAGAGUAAAAAGCAAAAACUACAACUAAUUUACCAAAAUAAUUGCAUUACUAAAAAGGCUUAGCAUACUUCCUUUAAUUUAGCAUAACUUCCUUCCUCAUUCCCCCCCAACUGAACUGAGCAUUGUCCUCAAUGUGAUAUGAGUGAUUGUAAUUAAAGGGAGGAAGUGGUACCUCCCGAUUGAUAUCAAUUUCGCAUACUGAUUGGAGAAACCACAUGUUUCAAAAAGAAUAGAAUAUGUGAGAAAAGGAAAUAAGGAUAACUUAAUGCUAAAGGUUAACAAGAAAUAUUAAACUUGUAUUACUUUGAAUCUAUAUGAGUAUAAUGUAAAAGAAAAGCAAUACAAGCAAUCCCAAAUAUAGUACCAAAAUAAUGGGAUUUCUUUCCAACUAAAAAUGAAAUACAUAAAAGAAAAGCAAUAUUGUGGACCUGCAUUUUUCACGUGUGUCCCCACUCGAUCGGCGAGACUCGCUUUUUAUAUUUGUGAAAAAUUAAUUUUUAGAAAAAGUUGGAGUCGCCACUUAUUUUAUUUUUAUUUUAAAGGGAAAAUAAAACAAGAAAGAAAAACCCUAAAAUGUGACUCCAUAAUUUUUGGAAAAAGCAUGUCUUUGAAAAACCCGAGUCUAAGUCCGGGGAUCAGGUUACUUAUUGGGAAGGUACCUCUAGGAGGUAGCACCCCUCUAAGCCCUAAAGAGGUCUCUACUGACUAAGUUAAGGGAAGUGUGGCCAUUAAUCAGUUAAUUAUGGAUACCUGAGUAGGCUAGGUGAUUUCAAAUAUUGCAUGUCUAAUAAGAAAACAAACCAUAAGAGAGAGUCGAAGUGCGUACCUGAAUGGCUUCUCAAGCGCUAUCAUGAAACAUAAGAGAUUAGUUUGGAAAUAUGACACAACAUUUGUUUUAUCUAAGCAAAUCAAGCAUAUAUCAAAACACCCAAAAAUUACAUCAUGUAUGGAUAUAGUCAUCAAUAACGCAUGUGUCCAUGGAAUUUUCAAAAAUAGGUGUGAAGGAGCGUACCUGGAUGGCAAGCUAAAACGUUACUAUGGGAAACAAGAUUGCUUAAUAAUAGGUGCAUAAUAAUCUCAUGUAUCUCAAAAAGAAAGCACAAUUAAUCAAAUGUCAAACAAACACUAUUGAAGAGGAUAUCAUUAAUGUCGGGCCCCCACCAAAGCCCUAAUUAAUUUUGCAUGAGUUGAUUCCAUGAAUUCCAUGAUUUGGAAUUAUGAAGUUUAUUCAUGCUUGAGAAAAUCAAGAAAAAUCAAGAAAAUCAAUUGAAAAUAAAAGAAAAUAGUUGAAAAUAAAAGAAAAUAGUGAAAAUGCUUGCCUGGAGGAAAGUGGCAGCAAAUUUAUUAAAAUCCGGAUUUUAGUGACUAGAAGGGUUCUAAAGAUGGAUUUUUCAAAGCUGGAAACGCUUAGUCGUAAAAGAAUUCAAAAAUUCAAUUGAAAACAAUAAAUUUCCAAUCAAAGAAGCAAAGAGAGGAGGAAGUGUGUGCAGCAAGAUAGCCAUGGUGGACUGGAGCUUGGGAGGUUUAGCUGUUGCUGGAUUGCUGAUGGUUGUAUGAAGAGGCCUUCGUGCAUUGCUGGCAUGUCUGGAGUAGAGCUAGCCAUAUUCAUUUCAAAGCACGUGCUCGCUUGAGAAACCCUGAUGAAACUUUUAUGCAGGUCAUGAGGUAAAAGUGUUGGUGCACAAUUGAAAUCCUCCAACAGUUUCUGUGCAACUUUUUCUCGUUCACUUGCAUCUAUUUUAACCUUGAGAGACCCCACAUAAAUAAACUCUGUUUCAGGGGAGAAACCAUCCUUUAAAUGCAAUAGAAAGACAUCUUCAUCUAAACUAAAGCAUCAUUUGACAAUCACUUUAUCUCUUUCAAGAUGCAGCCAAGGUAUUCUCUGAUUUAUCUACAGUCAUGAUGUUGUGAAAAUCAGCUGUGAGUCCUUUCAAAAAUCUGGCAAAGCUCCUCUUCAAGAAACUAUAUUGUCCCCCUUAAAAAUCUGGUCCUGCUUCUUCUUUCAAGAUCUUCAUUCUCCAUAUUUCUGAGUUUAAAUUCCAAAAUCUCAUGUGAAGAUUCAUUGGCUGCAGAUAUGUCCUGACGGAUGGCCUGACUCCAACAUGUAAUAACUUUCUAUGAAUUCUGGGUCCACAUCUGGUUUGGGAAUGUGUGGAAAUAGAUUCUCUUCUCUUAACAUCCGAAUUCUGUUUCUAUUGUCAACUUGCUCACAAACAAUUUUCUUCAACUGAAAGCUCGCGUUCUUAAUUGAUUUUCAGAUGUCCAGUUCCUCGGAUGACUCCUCGUUCUUCAGGCGUAUCAAAUUGCCCAUAAUAAGAAAUUAAUCCUCAGUCAACAAGAUUCCGCAACUUAGUCGCGUGUGUGAAGGCAAAUGGGCAGUAAGCUAGGGACUUUCUGAUGGAUCUUGCAUUUCUGGACUUUUGAAAGUGGCUGCCAAGAAUACACCAAGCUCCUCUAUCCUCUUGUUCCUCCUGAAGGUUUCUUCUCUCUUCUCUGCCGCAACAAGCGUUUCAAUAUUGAAAACAGAAACAAACCCUGUAUUAUGUGAAGGUUGUCUAAGCAUGCUAGUUGAUGGCGAUGCUUUGGGAAGGACAAAGUAAACCAGUUGGGGAAGGCACAGCUGCAGAAACACCAGUAGCAGUCUGUGACGAUGCCAUUUGUUAGGAUUGAGACAACUAACUAUUGACUGCCAAGUGCAUCACUUGUGGAAACGUUUGAAGCAUGACCAAUGGGAGGUAGAAUUGGUCUCCCAUAAUUAAUCAAGGAUGCAGAUGUUUUAUGCCUGUCACCAAUAAACCCUUGAUGUCUUUGUCGUGCUGGUAGUGGAGAUAAGGUCUGUUGUCUAGGCUGUAUGGUCCUAGAUCCUUCCACCGUUAACAUCCUUCUUGGCUCCCAAAGCUUGAUCAAUAACAGAGAGUUCAUCUUCGCAUUCCUUCAUGAUUGUCAAGGCCAACUACUCGUUCGCAAUUAUAUUUGAAUUUCAUCUUUGCAAGAGGUUCCAGGUACGGGCUGGUUAAGUAUCCAAUGAGUGAGCCCUUGGUCUGAAUGAGAGAAUAAACCUAUUACUGGUUCGAAAUUCUUCUUAAUCUUCUCUUGAAACAUAUUUAGCCAUUCACUAUUCUGGACAUUUAAUCAAGGUGGCAGAAAUUGAUCUUUUUAGUAUGUCUCCAAUGCCUUCCAAGAUCUCCAUUAUUAGCGAUUUUGUCACCUCCUUUGAUGCUUCGAGUUUGAGUAUUAUCAAAACUACUACUGCAACCCGGAGUAUAAAAAUUUUAAUUCCAUCCUCUAAACUACUAGGCAUCGUGUUUAAGCAAGUUAAACAGGUUAACUUAGAGGCUUCUUCUGGAAUUUUCCCCAAUCAGUUGACAACUUUGGGCAUAGAAUACCUGCAGUGUUCUCGCUUCCAAAGACGAGAAGAGUAGCUUUUAUUAAGUUUUUAUAUCAUGUAAGUCCUCCAUAUUCUUUGCAUACCAAAAAUAACAAACGCCAAUUUCAGAAGUAGCCAAGACAUGUAAGCCCGACUUAUCCGCAUCCCCAUUGUCAAUGUACCUGCUAUCUAAGAAGACAACAGGGUGCUCCAUUCAGAAAUAGCUAAGAACACAGCUGGCUGACUGUUUUAUUUCGAUACCAUCAAUUCUCCAAACUACAAUACAUUUCUCACCAAUAACGGAUGAUACGAUGUACUCCCCAUCAUCAGUAGAGAUCAUACGACGAACAACUUCAGGAUGACCUGAAAACUUUCGUAUCUUCUUGUGAUCAGAAGAAUUGGAGACCUUUGAUUGAGCCGCUGUCAAAACAAACAUAGAUGAUAUUGCCUUUGUAGAAGCUCUAAAUUUCCCCAAUAGGUUUUCUGUACAGCAGAUACAUCAAGUGCUAAAACAUCAUCACUGCCUGUUUUCUUUUUUUUUUUUAGUUACCCAAGCAAUUCAGUAAUUAAUGCCCAUCUGCAGCCUAUGGAAGAGAACUUGACACAAAAGAAUAACUGGAACCAAAGCUCCUUCAUAGACAAAAGUGAUAAAGGUUGAAUGAACAUGCCAUUGUUAGAUGUUUCAAGGUCCUCUGACAAGACAAAAACAAUCUGCAUAGCUCAUAAUGAUCAUGGCAACAUAAUGCGCAACGACACUUUAUUAGCCUUCAAACCACAAACCUUUCAAAGUUGAGAAUACAACUUGUAUAAAGGAAGAAUGAUCUAGAAUUUAAAUAUCCUUUUGGCAUCCAGUACGAUAGAUUAAGCGAGCUUUGACAAGUUGUAAAUUCCAUGCUCUAUAAAAGACAAGGCUUUCUUUUCUUCGUUAAAUUCUGUAGGCAGCCUAUGAAGUCAGUUCUGUCACUGAUACAUAACCAUUAGUUACAUACUUGGCGCUUGAAACAGCCACUGAUCAGUUAUCAAAGGCACUUACAAUCUCUUGCCAAUGGAGUGAUAAAUUGAGGUCAAAAUCUCUGUAUGCUGCAUCCUUAAAUAAUGGUGAUAAUGACUUCUCCAGAUUACGGCAAAACCUUGAUGCAAUGUAUUUUUCAUCAACAUUCGAAACAGACAUUGGAAUUUUCUGUAGGCUGGCAGAAUUAUUGGCAAUUUCGACAUCAGAAAUUGCAGCAAGACUAAAUCUUGACUUGCACCUCUUCCUUCAUCUCAUGGAAACAAACUGAGAGGUUUGGACAUUAGGAUCUGCACUUUUUCCAUAGAACUGGAGCACCUUUUCAGAAGUCCCUUCUUUGGUCCCAGCAAAAGACUUUAGAGCUUCAACAAGAAAAGUCAAUAACUCUUUGGCCAGAUGCAAUCGUCUUGCUGUGGUCUUUUUGCAUUUGAAAACAUGUCCUGGAGUAAAGCUUCUCUGGUCAAAUCAGGUCCUUGUCCAAAAAGCUCUUGUACAGGGUAUUCGAGAAUUCAACUGCUUCAAGUCUCUUUAGUAUAUAACAAUCAGCCAAGGCUUAACAAAAAGAACAAAGUUGCAUCUCCUAAUGUUCCUUUCCCCAAGGUUAAGAUCUCUAGAUUCCUUAAAGAAGACAUUGCUGUUCUGACCUAAUGUGGCAUUCUCACACCUAUUGUAAUCACCUUCUCCAUUCUCAGUUGAGAGCUUCAAUGCUACAGCAUCUAAACAGGUGAGCAACCUCCUCCCCUGAGCCAGUGUUUUUGAGUCCCUCGAAUCAUGAAAAAUAGAAACUGACCUAGCAAAAUCAAGUAAACCAGUAAAACCCAAGCUUUGUCUAAGGCCAAGGCUAACUAAAGUCUCCAAAGUUUCAGGAUCUGAGAACUUGUCAAAGGGGAAGAAAACUUCUCUGUGAAGCAUGUCUUGCAAUUCGGGAACUCGAGGAUCAUAUAGCCUGGAUGAUUGUUGCCAUGACCCAUUGGCAGCCAAAACAAAGGGUGUGAUGGAAAGUGUAAGUUUAAUUGAGGUAUCUUCUUCAAUCAAAAGUUUCACAUCAUAUAAAAUGGCUGAAAGUGCUCCCUGCUGUGAAAGAAAUUCUGGCGUGCAAGUGACUACAUAAUCUUUGUAGAAUUCUGCCCUUGAAGGUUCCUUAACCUCUAAAUACCUUCUCGGAAUGAUUCUUUCUUUUUCUGAAUCCGUGCGUACAAAGUCAUCAUUCAAAAGAUCUUCAGACACACCAUUUGGUUUAAGCAAUUUAGUGGGUUUACUCAAACAUACUAGUUUUCUAUUUCUGAACGAUUCAAACAUGGGAAGGUGUUUGAUGACAUCAAUAUGUGUGUCAUCCAUCUGACCUUCGGAGAACCACUUUGACUGAAGAAUAAAACUCCUAAGUUCAUGAAGCUCCCCUUCUGAUGCAUCACAGAAAAGUUUCUGAACAUUCUUCGGAUUAUGAGCAAGUGCCAGUAAGGCAUUCAAAAUGCCAGUUGCUGUUGGCAGCUGCACAUAAUUUUUCAACUGUGGAUGCUCUAUAGGCAGGUCAUUCCUCAAAAAUAGGCAUCCUACUUUCAAUAACAAAGAACAUAUGUUCUCAUUCCACCCAUCAUCUUUUAUCACAUUUGAAUUUUCAACCAGCUUCAAGAGAUAAUUAUUCCCAACGGGUAAAAUAGGCCACUUCGAAAAUUCUGAGAGAUCAUCACAACAUGACUUCAAAUAAAUCCAUAGUAGUCUUAACCAUUCUAAACUUGGUUGGCCUUGAUGACCAGGGUUCCAAAUUACCUGUUUGGCAUGCUGCCACUCUGCUGGGAGUAAUCUUAGGAAAAGUUUUUCAAGCAAAUAGCAUGUCAGAAAAGAAAUAUUUAAGUCUUCUGUUUGGGCAAUAUCACAUAGCUUCAUAUGAAUUCCUUCCGGAAUUCCAGAGUCUACAAGUUGAUGCGGAAUUGAAUCCUUAAGAAGACCAUACUCAUCUCCACGUGCAAUAUAAAUCCUUUCACCCACUCCCAUCUUGUCAAAUGCUGUAAAUAAACCAUUGGCAAGGGGUAGCAAAGGUAAGCCAUACAAACUAUCAGGUCGAACUGGCAUUUUCAAGUCAAGUAAGCAAUAUUCAAGUGUCAAUAUCAUUUCAUUCCUGUCCCUAAAUCCACGUUUCCGCCGAAUCAACAGAGUUCUCAACAACUGAGGUGUCAGGAAACGCAAUGAUGGACAAAACUCCAUAAACCUCUCGACAAUAUUGACUCCUACCUAGAUGUCUUAGUUGUCUUCUUCAUAACUGAAGGUCUUCUACCAAUUUUUUAGGAUUGAUGAGGCUGCAUAUCUUAAAUCACUCUGACAGGACCACUUCAAACGGGGUUCACAAGCAAUGGGAUAUUCUCUCCAUAGAACUUCAGCAUGCCAUCUGGUUACUUGUUCCGUUUCCACACACUCCUCGCAUGAUUGGCCCAGAUUCAUAAAAUAAGCUCCAGUUAUGGAAUGUCAGCGGGACCCAAAGCUGAAGAAAUUCAGACCACAUAUUCGCCACUUUUCUAGUAAUCCGCGUCUCAAUCAAUGUAAGGCAUUCCGGGCUUUGAUAUCAAAGUUUCAGCAGGCAUUAUCAUUCGGUGGAGCACAUGCGAUUAUGCAGCCAAAAUCCCUCAUGAAGAACAGAGGGAUGCAACCGAGAAAACAGAGUAUAAAGAACGAAAACAAAACAAAGAUAUAAAAUUGAGGAACUCAUGAAAGCCUUAUUUCAAAUUUCAUUCAACAGGCUCGGAUCGGUGGGAGGAUGAUCAGGAACAGAUUCGAGGCAAACUAGCAAAUAGCCAAUAUCAACAAACAAUUUUGUGGCCCUCUUCGUCCACACCAAAGAACAGUAUAUUAAACAUUAAAACGAACAUACAGAAGAAAAAUCAGAUAUGGGUAAGAAUUCCAAAAGUAACGAGAAAAAUACCUGGAUGAUCUCGGUUGCACUUGCUCCUUUCCUGCUCCUUUGUGCUUUCUCCUCAAAAAUCCUCAGAAUUUCUCCCAAUCCUCCAAUGCGUCUGCCAGUCCCCCUCUUUUUCUUUUUCUUUUCUCACCUAUAUAUAUCACCCCUCAAGACCUAAAUUUGUUUCCAAAAAGGAAAAUUCUCCUU
rnacentral:lncRNA from 1 species